AUAUAGAGAGAAGAGGAGCUACAAGAGAACUUAUU
rnacentral:sRNA from 1 species